rnacentral:ncRNA from 1 species
UUAAAUCUGCCACCGGGUAGUGAGAUGCUUUAGCAUCCGUUUACACAUCGUUAGGUCUUUGAAGAUGUGUUAGCGGAUGCUUUGUUUAU